GUGCUUUGGGCAUCGAACUGCUUGUGCUCGGCUACCUCUCAGUGUUUUGCUAUGAGGACCAUGUGUCUUUUCAGCCUCCUAGGUUCUUGUAUUGCAUACCUAAUGUGACGGAAUUAGUUGCCAACGGAGCCCCUUUCCUCCUCGUGCCCUUCAUGGGUGCAAGGAGGACAUCAAAGUAGCACACGCGUCCCCGGCCGCCAUCAACUUGUUGUGUGGUGACAGCCAU
rnacentral:misc_RNA from 1 species